AGGGAUGUAAAAACAAACACAAGCCAAGUCACGGCAUGUCGAUGAACAGUACAGGAGUCAUGUUCACUAAUAAAAUGAGUAGCCUGGAGAUUGGUAGUCCUGCAACAUGUAAUUUUAAAAAGUUGACCAUUGUUUAUUGUUUUCAGAUAGCUAUUCUAUUAUUAAAAUGUGUGCAGAUCCCUCAAUCGCAUGGAAUAGUUUGUCAUCA
rnacentral:misc_RNA from 1 species